rnacentral:rRNA from 1 species
CUUUUCUUGAAGAUUAUGAGAAGUAUAACCUGCCCAAUGAAUAAUAUUUUUAAUGGCCGCGGUAUCAUGACCGUGCAAAGGUAGCAUAAUCAUUAGUUUUUUAAUUGGGGACUGGAAUGAAUGGUUGGACGAGAUAAUAACUGUCUUAAUUUAAAUUAAUUAGAAUUUAAUAAUUAAGUUAAAAAGCUUAAAUUUUUUUUUGGGACGAGAAGACCCUAUAGAGUUUAAUAUAAUUAUAAAUUAAUUUGGUUUAUAAUUAUAUUUAUUUAUUUUUAUAUUUUAUUGGGGUGAUAGAAGGAUAAAUAUAACUCUUUAAUUAUUUUUGUGAAUAAAUUUAUUUAAUAUUGAUCCAUUAUUAUUGAUUAAAAGACUAAAUUACC